rnacentral:rRNA from 1 species
ACUCAAAUGAAUUGACGGGGACUUGCACAAGCAGUGGAUUAUGUGGUUUAAUUCGAUGAUAAACGAAGAACCUUACCAAGAUUUGAAACCUAACUGAAUAUUUUUGGAAACAGAAAUAGUCUCACAAGGACAGUUAGGCAGGUGAUGCAUGGCCGUCGUCAGUUCGUAGUUUGAACCGUUCCCUUAAGUGGGGUAACGAACGCAACCCUCGUUGUCUGUUACACGUAUCAGGCGAGACUGCCCAGCUUUUAGUUUUCAAAAUAAAAUUUGAAAGUUAAAAGCUGGGAGGAAGGCGAGGAUGACGCCAGGUCAGCAUGUCCCUCUGAUAUCUUGGGCUACACACAUAAUACAAUGGCGAACACAACGGGUCGCGACGGGGAAACCCUGAGCCAAUCCUAAUAAAAGUCGCCUCAGUUCAGAUUGGGGGCUGCAACUCGACCCCAUGAAGUUGGAAUUGCUAGUAAUCGCGGGUCAGCUAUACCGCGGUGAAUACGUUCUCAAGUCUUGUACACACCGCCCGU